CUCCUUCAGCCCCUCCAGCUUGGAACGGGUCUGAGCUGCCAGCUCCUUGGCGUGGUGGUGGACGUCAGCUUCCAGAAGGAGAAACAGCAUCAGUCCAGAGAGAGUGACCUUUCAGCCUACAAGAACCCAAAGAUCCAUCCUGCAAGCAUGUCAAGGUUGGCUAGAAACAUACAUGUGCUUCUGACCUGGAGGGUAAAGAGAAUCUUCAUGGUUUCAUAAGAGGCUAUAAUAGCAAUACUGUCCUGGAGGCGAGUGUCUGAUAUCCCGCACAUAGUCUUCUGGGGUCAACGUUGACUGCUGAACAUAUUGC